ACAUUAUCCUCCCCAGACCCCACUUUGUGGAACUUUACUAGGUUAUAUAUGACUAGGGAAGGCUAGGGAGCACUUUUGGAGUCAAAAAAAUGAAGAAAGAGAGGCCAACCGUGAAAUGUCCCAAGUGAACCACGCAAAAAUAGGCUGAAGAAUCAGAAAAAUGACUCUGCCGCGGUUCCACCGCGACCGCGGCAGAACCGCGGUGAAGGAUGCUCGCGGAUAGAAGGAGAUUCAGAGGAGUUUUUUGGCCGCGUUUCCACCGCGACCGCGGCAGAACCGCGGCAGGCGCGAGAAAAGUGCAGGGACUAAAGUGCAAACACGGGAUUUUUAGCCCUAAAACCUAUUUUAAACAUUAGACUUCGCCCAAGAGAGGCAUGUAUUAUUUUGGAGAGUAUCUUGGCAAGAAAAACAAUUGUGAGAGAUCACCCAAAACAUCUUUCUUCUUUUCUUUGCUUUUGAUUGCUUGUUUAUGAUG